rnacentral:rRNA from 1 species
AUUGAACGCUGGCGGCAGGCCUAACACAUCCAAGUCGAACGAGUGGCGGACGGGUGAGUAAUGUCUGGGAAACUGCUCGAUGGAGGGGGAUAACUACUGGAAACGGUACCUAAUACCGCAUACCAUCGGAUGUGCCCAGAUGGGAUUAGCUAGUAGGUGGGGUAACGGCUCACCUAGGCGACGAUCCCUAGCUGGUCUGAGAGGAUGACCAGCCAAACUGGAACUGAGACACGGGCCAGACUCCUACGGGAGGCAGCAGUGGGGAAGAUUUCACAAUGGGCGCAAGCCUGAUGAAGCCAUGCCGCGUGUAUGAAGAAGGCCUUCGGGUUGUAAAGUACUUUCAGCGAGGAGGCGUUACUCGCAGAAGAAGCACCGGCUAACUCCGGGCCAGCAGCCGCGGUAAUAC